UUCCUGGAAGUGGAGCAGCUAUCCAGUAGCCCAAACGUGGUGCAUCAUAUGUCCAGACGAAGUGAUUGUUAUGUUCCUUGACCAUUCCCUGGCCAUGAUUUACCCAAGCACCUAAAAAGACCACAAAGGCUGGUUCGGAGAUGGGCAUGAAAAUUCUAUAACUGCAGUGAAUCCAAGAGCUUGUGCAAUUGCUACUGGGAAAAGAAUCUCUUUCCAUUGGACUUCAACCUGUGUGUCAAGUCAGAACACCUACACUCUCUUCUUGCCACUCUGAAGAUAAACCUGAAUCUUUGAAUUAAAAGCUAGAGUUUUGUUCAUCAUUUAACAAAUAUUUAUAACAGAGCCCCUAUUGGCACCACCUACUCAUCUUGGUUCCAAAGACACAUUGAGAGCUUGCCCUGGUGAGGGCCUCGCCUGCUUGCUGGACCACGGAAUGCCUUUAGGCAGAGUCACAGAUGUGUGCAGGAGGAAACACAGGCCCAUAACAGAGGAGGGACAGUCAUCUUGCUGGAGCACCAAUAGCAUCGGCUACAAUAGGUCACACAAGGCACCUUUAUCCUGGAGACCACUUGAUUCUACUGCCCAGAAUUUCUUCAUCCUUUUUGGGUUUUACUCUAGGAAACCGCAUACCGACCAUUUUAGCCCAUUUGAUUCACUUGGGGUUUCAUUUCUGUAACACAAGCUAAUGGUGCAGGCCAGAAUGGGCUGGAACCAAUCCAAAUGUCAGGUAUUCAAUUGAUAAAUGUUAUCUCAUGUUAAUAACUUUGAAUUGACUAUCCCUUAAUAUAACUUACAAAGUGAAAAUUCAGUGAUAGUAUUGAUAUUUCUGUAAUCAAUGUAUUUUUAACAAUUCAAGGGUCAACUCUUAAAUCCUUGAAACUUAUCAGAAAUAUCAGCUAUUGCUUUGGACUUUAAGGUUGCUGACAAAGACAAAAGCAAUCAGUUCAAUUAUUAGAAUUUUUAAAGUGUCAGUUUCUAAAUAGUUAUAUCACAAAACAUGACAAAAAUGUAACAUAAUUUUCAAAAUCAGUGUACUGUUUACAUAUGAAGCUAGAAAAACUAAUACCUGGAAAGUAAGAGAUAUAACUAAAAACAACAUAUUUAUAUUAGUCUUCUUUGGUUAAAUUGAGGGUAUAAUCUAAUACCUUCUGAUCACUUUACAAGUACUAUCUACACCUUACUCUGUUAAAAUACCUGCCUUAAAAAAGUGCUGUGGAAAUAUUUCACAUUAAUAGAGGCUGAGACAUGAAAACUGAAUGUAACAUUUGACCCUAAACUGGAGUGACAAAAAAAAAAAAAGCACCAGUGGCCAAAAUCGGAAUUUGGAUGGUAAGUUAUCCUAUCAACAUUAAAUUGGCUGAACUGUGUUGUGGCCACUUAAUAUCCCAAAUCUUAGCAAGUGCAUGCUUAAAUAUUUAGAGGUAAAAGGCCACGAUGCAUGUAACUUACCUUCAAAUGGUUCAGAAAAAAAGUAUGCAUACCCAGAGCACAAAUACACAUAUAGUAAAGCAAAUGGAAUAAAAUGUUAUCAAUAGCUAAAUUUGAGUAGAGGGUAUACAGGAGUUGUCUCUUAUCCUUGCAACUUUUCUAUAUUUUGAAAUUAUUUCUGCAUUUGAAGUUAUUUUCAAAUAUAAAGUUAAAAAUAUACAUGUGCCUUAAUUAUGCUGAAGCCCCAAAUUUCUUAUAACUGAAAACAUGUGCACUAAGUAAAAUGUCUGUCUGAGCCUCUCUAAGGUUUUGUACAUUCCUGAAGUUUCUAAUUUCUCCUGCUCCCUUUUUAUCACAAGCACACACAAACCUAACACAUUUUCAUUGUACAAACUGAACACCUUUCUGAUCAAAUCCUGGAAGAAAAAAUAUCAAUGUUUUAUGGAAGUUGAGAAGUGAGGAUGUGUAUCUUCCAAGGAAGGAUUUAUCAUCUGCAGAAACACCCCUCCUUUCCUGCUUAGCUUUUCAAUGGGUCAACUCUUAGGACACUGAGGUAGUAAAAGGAAGCUAUCUGAGAACUCAAGAGAGCCCACAGUGUUCUCAUGGAGAUAUAGACAGUAUCUCCCAGAUAAAUGCUCACCAUUGCUUGGUAAAAUGCAAAGGAGUGGCAUAUGGACAUGUUCACACUAAUCUAUUUCAUAUAUUCUGGAGGAAAUUACAAUUUGUAAUGGGGUUUGAAGAAGACAGUAUGAAGUAGGAAUGUGUCAAAACACAACCUUAACAAGAAGGUGCUGCUGAAGAGGGACUGUUUUUACUAAGGUCCCAGCAGCAUAACGUGUAGCCUUUCUCUAUGGUAAAUGGUUCCUAUUUACUUUUCAUCCUUCUGCACACCAUGCCACAUGCACCCAUCCUGCCAGGCAGAGCAAACUUGCAACUCAAAAUUCUAUUGAAUCUAUUAGAUUUCAAGAGUAAGAUUCUGGUAAUUUCCUCAGUAAAUUAAUCACACGCUGGUUUAAUUUUUUUUCCAAAUAUUUUCUUUAAUAUUUUUGAAAUAAGAUAACUUCUGAGGGGUGCCUGGGUGGCUCAGUCCAUUAUCAGACUUUGG